GACAGAGGGUGCAAACGUUGUUCGGAUUUACUGGGCGUAAGGCGCGUGUAGGCGGCUUGGCAAGUCGGAUGUGAAAGCCCACGGCUCAACCGUGGAAGCGCAUCCGAAACUGCUUCGCUCGAGUCUCGGAGAGGAAGGUGGAAUGCUUGGUGUAGAGGUGAAAUUCGUAGAUAUCAAGCAGAACACCUGCGGCGAAGGCGGCCUUCUGGACGAUGACUGACGCUGAGACGCGAAAGCGUGGGGAGCAAACAGG
rnacentral:rRNA from 1 species